rnacentral:rRNA from 1 species
AUGAACGCUGGCGGCGUGCCUCAUACCUGCCAGUCGAGCGAACAGAUGAGGAGCUUGCUCCUCUGACGUUAGCGGCGGACGGGUGAGUAACACGUGGAUAACCUACCUAUAAGACUGGGAUAACUUCGGGAAACCGGAGCUAAUACCGGAUAAUAUAUUGAACCGCAUGGUUCAAUAGUGAAAGACGGUUUUGCUGUCACUUAUAGAUGGAUCCGCGCCGCAUUAGCUAGUUGGUAAGGUAACGGCUUACCAAGGCAACGAUGCGUAGCCGACCUGAGAGGGUGAUCGGCCACACUGGAACUGAGACACGGUCCAGACUCCUACGGGAGGCAGCAGUAGGGAAUCUUCCGCAAUGGGCGAAAGCCUGACGGAGCAACGCCGCGUGAGUGAUGAAGGUCUUCGGAUCGUAAAACUCUGUUAUUAGGGAAGAACAAAUGUGUAAGUAACUAUGCACGUCUUGACGGUACCUAAUCAGAAAGCCACGGCUAACUACGUG